ensembl:lncRNA
GCAGAACAUGUACCUCGUUUACCGGCCAGCCAACAGCCAGUCGCCUGCCGCGGAGGGCUGGGUGCCAGGACACGUCUUAGGCCCGCUCACAAAGCCCAUUAAAGACUCUUCUUCUACUUGCUCCUUCUCAGCAGCCGUAACAGAUGCCAACAACAUCAAGUAAGUCCCCACCCACCCCGCACAUCUUUCCCUGCAGACUGAAGCACUUCUGGUUGGGCUUGAAACCAAGUAUUCGGAUUGAAUGAGAGGACUAAGCUGACAAAGGUCUGUCUAAAUGUUUUUGUUCUGACUCUGUUUCCAUCACCAGCUCCUCAGCUGUCUGCGUCCUGUGUUUAAAAAGCAAACACAAAAAAAUGUUGGACUUUGUUUUUUCUUGUUUUGAAGGUACAGAGUUGUUCUCUAACUGUCCAUCAAGCUGCUGCAAUGACUUUGAUUUCUUGAGCCGGUCACUUAUCGGCUCUGUGGCGAUGACGUUUAAACAAAAAAGCAAAAUAAAAAAAGGUUUUGAGGCUUGAAACUAACAAAAGAAAGAAAAACAGCUGAAAACUUCGAGGUGAUUCCCACAGAAAUAGACAGGAUAGAAAAAACUUGUACCUUGUUCCUAACUGGAAACCAGAAAGUGAAAAGUACUCGUGUGGAGCUAAAACCGACUUUUUACUUCAGUUCCUAACACUCUGCAUUUUCUUCUGUUUUUGUACUUUUUUUAAUUUUUCCUGCUUUCUGUAAAAAAAACAAAAAAAACAAAACCCUCACCUCACCUGGGUCAUUGCGGUGGCCUCAGUCCUGUUCUCCUCACAGAUGUUUGUUUAUUCCUCUUAUUGUUGCUGCCCUACUAAUAAUUAUUUUAUUCCACGGACAAAGUUGUAUUUAAUUCUUUUUUUGUGUUGAAUUUAUGUUGGCAGUUCACUGUACAGAGUAAAAACAUUGACUGAGGCUCUACAACAUUCCUGUUUUUGUUUUGUUUGUUUGUUUUUGUUUUGUUUUUUAUCUAAAAAAAACCUUUUGCACUAUUUAUGACAAGAAAAAUAUGAAUGAAGUCAGGCUGUGCAAUAUGUUUGGUGGCAAGGUCAGCGUUGUACUCUUGGUAGUCUAUUAAUAAUACUGAUUUUAAAUUUGUUAAAUAAACCUUUUGGACUUGAGCACGAGUUAACAAAGCGGUGUCAAGGUGAAGAUGUUUUAUUUGACAUUUGGCUGAUGAUGGGUG